rnacentral:rRNA from 1 species
UAAUACGAAGGGACCUAGCGUAGUUCGGAAUUACUGGGCUUAAAGAGUUCGUAGGUGGUUGAAAAAGUUGGUGGUGAAAUCCCAGAGCUUAACUCUGGAACUGCCAUCAAAACUUUUCAGCUAGAGUAUGAUAGAGGAAAGCAGAAUUUCUAGUGUAGAGGUGAAAUUCGUAGAUAUUAGAAAGAAUACCAAUUGCGAAGGCAGCUUUCUGGAUCAUUACUGACACUGAGGAACGAAAGCAUGGGUAGCGAAGAGGAUUAGAUACCCUCGUAGUCCAUGCCGUAAACGAUGUGUGUUAGACGUUGGAAAUUUAUUUUCAGUGUCGCAGCGAAAGCGAUAAACACACCGCCUGGGGAGUACGACCGCAAGGUUAAAACUCAAAUGAAUUGACGGGGACCCGCACAAGUAGUGGAGCAUGUGGUUUAAUUCGAAGAUACGCGCAGAACCUUACCAACACUUGACAUGUUCGUCGCGACUUUAAGAGAUUAGAGUUUUCGGUUCGGCCGGACGAAACACAGGUGCUGCAUGGCUGUCGUCAGCUCGUGUCGUGAGAUGUUGGGUUAAGUCCCGCAACGAGCGCAACCCUCACUUUUAGUUGCCAUCAUUUAGUUGGGCACUCUGAAAGAACUGCCAGUGAUAAGCUGGAGGAAGGUGGGGAUGACGUCAAGUCCUCAUGGCCCUUACGUGUUGGGCUACACACGUGCUACAAUGGUAUCUACAACAGGAAGCAAGACUGCGAAGUUAAGCAAAUCCUUAAAAGAUACCUCAGUUCGGAUUGCACUCUGCAACUCGAGUGCAUGAAGCUGGAAUUACUAGUAAUCGUGGAUCAGCGUGCCACGGUGAAUGCGUUCCCGGGUCUUGUACACACCGCCCGUCACACCAUGGGAGUUGGUUCUACCUUAAGGCAAGGUUUAAAACCCUUGACCACGGUAUAGUCAGCGACUGGGGUGAAGUCGUAACAAGGUAGCCG